CCUACGGGAGGCUGCAGUGAGGAAUAUUGGUCAAUGGGCGCAAGCCUGAACCAGCCAAGUCGCGUGAGGGAUGACGGUCCUAUGGAUUGUAAACCUCUUUUGUCGGGGAGCAAGGCCAGCCACGUGUGGCGGGCAGGAGGGUACCCGAAGAAAAACCAUCGGCUAACUCCGUGCCAGCAGCCGCGGUAAUACGGAGGAUGCGAGCGUUAUCCGGAUUUAUUGGGUUGAAAGGGUGCGUAGGCGGAAGGUUAAGUCAGCGGUAAAAGGUCGGUGCUCAACACCGGCCGGCCGUUGAAACUGGUCGUCGUGAGUGAGCGAGAGGUAUGCGGAAUGCGUGGUGUAGCGGUGAAAUGCAUAGAUAUCACGCAGAACUCCGAUUGCGAAGGCAGCAUACCGGCGCUCAACUGACGCUGAGGCACGAAAGCGUGGGGAUCGAACAGGAUUAGAUACCCGGGUAGUC
rnacentral:rRNA from 1 species